rnacentral:tRNA from 1 species
CGGGAUGUAGCGCAGUUUGGUAGCGUACACGCCUGGGAGGCGUGGGGUCACAGGUUCAAAUCCUGUCAUCCCGA